UACGAAGGGGGCUAGCGUUGUUCGGAAUUACUGGGCGUAAAGCGCGCGCAGGCGGCCAUUCAAGUCAGGGGUGAAAGCCCAGAGCUCAACUCUGGAACUGCCCUUGAAACUGCAUGGCUUGAGUACGAGAGAGGUGAGUGGAAUUCCCAAGUGUAGAGGUGAAAUUCGUAGAUAUUGGGAAGAACACCGGUGGCGAAGGCGGCUCACUGGCUCGUUACUGACGCUCAGGCGCGACAGCGUGGGGAUCAAACAGG
rnacentral:rRNA from 1 species